ACCCAUGCUCCUGGAUGACGACCCUCAAGACGACGACUCACGGCUAACGCUAAAAGGAACACUCUAAGAAAGACCCAUGCUCCUGGAUGAUGACCCUCAAGACGAUGACUCACGGCUAACGCUAAAAGGAAUACUCUAAGAAAGACCGACGCUCCUGGAUGACGAUCCUCAAGACGACGACUCACGGCUAACGCUAAAAGGAAUACUCUAAGAAAGACCGACGCUCCUGGAUGACGACCCCCAAGACGACGACUCACGGCUAACGCUAAAAGGAACACUCUAAGAAAGACCGACGCAUGAUGGAUGACGACCCCCAAGACGACGACUCACGGCUAACGCUAAAAGGAAUACUCUAAGAAAGACCGACGCUGGAUGACGACCCCCAAGAUGACCCAGGACGACUCAGGACGACAAAAAAAAAGGAAAUUAGUUAGGAAUAAAGGAAAUUAGGUUAAGUUGGAAAAUACAGGAAUUAAUUAGGAAUUAGUUCAGGUUAAGUAAAAAAGGAAAUUAGUUAGGAGUAAAGGAAAUUAAGU